rnacentral:lncRNA from 1 species
AAACCGCAUGUCCAACAUGUGAUUUCUUCUCCAUGUGGCCUACCAAUUUUAAAAAAAUAUUAAAUUCGAAAAUGAAAACCACAUGUAGAAGAUGCGGUUUUAGCUUCAAACCACAUCUUCCACAUGCGGUUUCAUGUCUCCCCCCCACAACAAUCUCCUCCUACCCCGCAAAUGGUCCUCCCCACCUAUGGUCCCUUCCCCACCAUACAAAUUUAUCCUCCCUGUGGUCCUCCAACUAUGAUCAGUCUCCUCCCCACCUGACAGCCUUGGGUCUCCCUCCUCACGAUCGGCAUCCGCCUCCUCGAUCGACCUUCACCCCGUCUUGCGAUCGACAUCUACCUCCUCGACCAAGCUCUUUUCUGUCGCA